AGCGGCGGACGGGUGAGUAACGCGUGGGUAACCUGCCUCAUACAGGGGGAUAACAGUUGGAAACGGCUGCUAAUACCGCAUAAGCGCACAGGACCGCAUGGUCCGGUGUGAAAAACUCCGGUGGUAUAAGAUGGGCCCGCGUCUGAUUAGCUGGUUGGCAGGGUAACGGCCUACCAAGGCAACGAUCAGUAGCCGGUCUGAGAGGAUGAACGGCCACAUUGGAACUGAGACACGGUCCAAACUCCUACGGGAGGCAGCAUG
rnacentral:rRNA from 1 species